UCUCUCUCUCUCUCUCUCACCCUUGAUGGUCAAUGAAAGCUAACCUAUAGUAUGAUUUAUGACAGUACUGUGUAUAUGAGCAGCUCCAUGAACUGUGUGUGUCUUCAAAACUCGUGAGAAUCAUACUCACAUAGCAAUGGGCCUCACCCUUCCCACCUGCAAUACUCUAAAUCACGCGGUGUGCGAUCCACCUCCUUUAAUGCCCAUCACCAACCCAAACAAAUACCUUAAACAACACCAACUACCAUUUCUUUUCCACUCCCACUCACGCCGUUACAUCUAACGCCAAUUCCCUCGUGCAACAUUUCUCCUCCUUUUCCCUUCCUCUUUAAUCUUUCUACACUUUCCUUCAAAUCCCUCUCGUGCACGUUAACCUUAAGCCCAUCUUUCAUGAACAAUGUUAAUGACAUCUUCUGCUCCACCUUGAAUCCUGGCACUACCGUCAGCCUAUGCCUCAGCAACACCGCUGCUGCCACCGAUUUCAUUUG
rnacentral:misc_RNA from 1 species